AGUUGAUGGACUGGAUCAUCAAGAGAUGAUAUGAUCAACGAGAGUUGAUAAUAAGAUCAACGAGAAUUGAUCAGAUGUUGUUCUGUCCCUACGACAUACCUAACAGAAUACGAAACAGAUUGAAUUAGCACAGACUUGUUAUACCAUCUAACAUGAUAUGUAAGCACAAGAUUGAGAAACACAAGGAUUCCAAAAACAAUAUACCUCGGAUUAAUAUCAUGCAAGAUACAGGACAAGACAAGCCAAACCCUAACAAGAAGAUCAUCAAUUAGAUAAGGAGAUUCAAAAGGAUUAUCAGAAUAGAAACAAAAGAAUAUCAAACUAAACUUACAUGAACAUCAGAAGAUAGACACAAGACUUCUGAUGUAUCAACAAGGGUUGAUUGGAUAUAUCAACGAGAGUUGAUUGGAUAUAUCAACGAGAGUUGAUCGGAGGUAUCAUCGAGAGAUGAUAUGAUCAACGAGAGUUGAUCGGAGGGAUCAUCGAGAGAUGAUAUGAUCAACGAGAGUUGAUGAUUAGUAUCAACGAGAGUUGAUUAGUAUCGACGAGAGUCGAUGAUUUGACCAACGAGUACUGAUCAGGACAUGUUACGCUCAUAUAAAUCUCUCAAAGAACACAAAAAACAGAGUUAGACACUUCAUACGGACCAAAACACAAACAGAGUUAAUCCGAUUCUACAAGAUAUGUAAGGAAAAAAGUCUCGAAAAGAUUCAUACACAGUAAUAACAAGAUCUAUAUGUGUAUGAAUGGUAACAACUUACCUCGAUGAAUACUCCGAUCAAUCGCAAAUCCAUGCAAAACCCUAAAAAAGAUGAUAAGAAGACUACGAAGAGAGGAAGCGAUGAACAAAAAUGAUCGAUACAAACCCUAAAAAGAUGAUAAGAAGAUUAGAAAAAAAUAAAUUAAAGAGAAGAAGCAAAAACACAAUUAUUAUCGAUCACUUCUUGAUAUAUAUAGAGGUCCGGAGAGAUCCUACGGCUGUUAAUAUUUUUUGUGUAAAGCAAUCAACGGUCCAGAUGUAACACAAUAAGAACAGAGGGGGUUAAAAUUAGUAACUUCAUGAUAAAAUAUAUGAUGAUCAAUUUUUGUUUACGUAAUAAAAUUAGUUAUACUAUACACGGUAAAAAAAAAUAGUUACAAUAUUUUACAAACCAAUGAUAAAAGUGAAAU
rnacentral:lncRNA from 1 species